rnacentral:tRNA from 1 species
GGCCCCUUAGUCAAGUUGGUGCAAGACACCGGCCUCUCAAGCCGGAGGCGCUGGGUUCGAAUCCCGCAGGGGUCACCA